GCGGAAGUGGCGAAAUUGGUAGACGCACCAGAUUUAGGUUCUGGCGCCCCGAGGCGUAAGAGUUCAAGUCUCUUCUUCCGCACCA
rnacentral:tRNA from 1 species